rnacentral:ncRNA from 2 species
ACAAUCGGCGCCGCUGCAGGUGCUCGCCAGCGCGUUCUUGCGCUGGCAGUUGAACGGGAAGCAGGGUGAUGGCGCGUACCCACGCGUGCAUCUGGCCUGCGCUGCCCCCGCAACGGUGAGCGAUCGCAAGGCGUGCCGCCUUGCUGCGGCACCCCCUAUCCAUGGUCACUGCUGCCGAGAUGUAGUGGGAAGGCCGGGGGUGCCCAAUCGCCAGCCCGGAUACCGGCCUGCAGCGUGCAAGUACG